rnacentral:rRNA from 1 species
AUCUGGGCGACGGAAUUCAGGAUGGCGAGCGUGCCUUCGCGGGUACGCUGGUCGUUUGAUAUUUCCGUCGCCAAUCGACCGCAGACGUCGCGACCUGUUCGCGGUCGGUCCCUGCUCGGAGGAGCCGCGUUCGAGUUCGUUGCGUGCACGUUUCGGCGUGUCAUGCGGCGAAGGCGUGGAUCUCUGACUGGCCGUCGGACAGUAUGUUCAACGGUGUCCGGUGUCGUCGUCUCGUACGCGCGUACACUGGUACCGGUCAGCGACGAAUUCUUCGGGCCUCUUUCCGACCCGUCUUGAAACACGGACCAAGGAGUCUAACAUGCGCGCGAGUCGCGGGGUGUCGAGCGUACAGUGGUACGUUCGUUACGUUGCGAAACCCGUACAUGUCGAAGGCGUAAUGAAAGUGAAUGGGGAAGAUGGUGUCCCGAGUACACGUUCCGCGAUCAUCGGUAUCGCGGCCGGGCACCCGCAUUCCCGGGGCGUCUCAACGGCCCGUCGCUGAUGCGGACUGUCGUCUCCUCGGGUCGGCUGUCGGUCGGCGAUGAACCGA